rnacentral:rRNA from 1 species
GUGGGGAAUAUUGGACAAUGGGCGAAAGCCUGAUCCAGCCAUGCCGCGUGUGUGAAGAAGGUCUUCGGAUUGUAAAGCACUUUAAGUUGGGAGGAAGGGUAGUAACCUAAUACGUUGCUACUUUGAAGUUACCGACAGAAUAAGCACCGGCUAACUUCGUGCAAGCAGCCGCGGUAAGACGACGGGUGCAAGCGUUAAUCGGAAUUACUGGGGGUAAAGCGCGCGUAGGUGGUUCAGUACGUGGGAAGUGAAAUCCCCGGGCUCAACCUGGGUACUGCUUUCAAAACUGCUGAGCUAGAGUACGGUAGGGGGUGGUGGAAUUUCCUGUGUAGCGGUGAAAAGCGUAGAUAUAGGAAGGAACACCAGUGGCGAAGGCGACCACCUGGACUGAUACUGACACUGAGGUGCGAAAGCGUGGGGAGCAAACAGGAUUAGAAACCCGGGUAGUCC